UCCGUGGCUGGAUUCCCUCUGGUGGGCACUCCGUCCUCAGCCAUGGGAUGCACGCCACUGCUGCUCAUCCCGACUGGGCGGAGGCUCCCUUUUCCUGCAGGUGCUGCCCCGCUGAUUUAGUGCUCAGAAAAUUUUGUUGGCUGUUGAUUUGCUGCCAAGGACGGCAAACUCGACUAUGGCGACGCCAUCUGUGGACUUCAAGGUGCCUAAUUGAUGUUUGGCGUUCCCUCUUCUAAUAACGUUCGUGACGUUCCACUUCCUCUCCCCACAAUCUCGAGAGAAACUGAUGGAUUUUUGCCCUAUAAAGUCUACUACACCUAAGUACCUCACCUCAUUUUGUAUCAUCGUCCUCCAGUACGGGUGGGUCUCUCCCAGAAUUCUCAUACUGCAGCCGGUUGUGCGUGCUUGACGACACCCCGGUAGCUAUCUUCGUUUGUCUUCCCUCACUGCAUACACAAACGAAUUCGAUUUCUACCUCCUACUGGUACAUAUUAUUUCUUAUUUUCAUACCAAUUUUGCUGAGCUUCCAUUGUAACCCAGAAAUGUUAUCAUCAGGGACACCUUUUAUUUCAUGCAAAUAUUAUAAACCAGACACAUGACUUAAAAUUUCCUAUAAAUAUUACCUAAUUUAUGCAGCUCAAACUGUGCCAGUGUUUUAAAAAUGUCAGACCAUUUUUGGUUGAAGGCCUGGGCACUCUGCCUCCGAAUAAGUGGUGCCUACAUGAUGAAAUUUUUUGCUUGGCCAAACUAGCCUUGUGGGUGAACGUUUCGUUCUUGACCUUGCUUGCUGCUAUGUCGUUCAGUGAGGCCAAUCAACGUAUUUACAUUUUCUUUCCAAGUAAGCCAUCCAAACAAUCACCACGCCCAAAUCUUACAUGCAUGUGCUAUAUUAAUACAUACAGUAACUGCUUAAUUUACUGGUGAUUAGAAUCACAAUAUAAAUACCAUUUAUGACUUUCUAUACAGUCACUGCUAUUUUUUUAAUACCAUUCACUGCUAAAUUAGUUUUUUUUGCGGGGCACUGCUAAAUUAGUUGUGUAUUAAUAAUUCUUAAAACAACAUCGCUUGGUUACAAUUUUUUUUUCUGCCCCACAUCUAUAUAUAACAGCACCCGUAGCAUUCUAUCUGUAGAAGUUCAUCUUCCCUACACCUAAAUAUUGACUUUUACAAACUACAUGGACAACCAGCAGGAAGGCAACAGGUACAACUAUUACAUACAAAGUAGUUUUCUCGGUUCCUCCUACGAAAUUAACACCAUGCAUACCUAUUUUCCUAUAGUAUGCGAUCUCAUGCACCAAGAAAAGUUUUGCCACCUUCAUCAACGCAACAAACAAGAGAAAGACACAAAGACUACAUAGCGGCUGUUACAAAGAUGAAGAAUGCUACAAAAACGCCAACAACCAGCAUAUCAUUUCUUUUUUCUUUUUCUUUUGCGAGUAACCAGCAUCUCAUUUCAACACGACACCACAAAGGAUCAUCCAUCCAGGGCUGGAAAUACAUCUUUGAGUACAUCAAGAAAGGAAUCCCAGAUGUACAAUUCGUUCAC